GACGAACGCUGGCGGCGUGCCUAAUACAUGCAAGUCGAACGCAGUGGGGACUGGUGGGUAACCCGUGGGUCACCUCCCCAUCAGAGGGGAUAACGCUUGGAAACAGGUGCUACACCGAUACUGAUGGAUGGACACGCGGUGCAUUAGCUAGUUGGUGAGGUAACGGCUCACCAAGGCCACGAGUCAUAGCCGACCUGAGAGGGUGAUCGGCAACACGGGGACGGAGACACGGCCCAGACUCCUACGGGAGGAAGCAGUAGGGAAUCUUCGGCAAUGGCCGAAAGUCUGACCGAGCAACGCCGCGUGAGUGAAGAAGGUUUUCGGAUCGUAAAACUCUGUUGUUAGAGAAGCGGUAUCUAACCAGAAAGCCACGGCUAACUACGUGCCAGCAGCCGCGGUAAUAC
rnacentral:rRNA from 1 species